GUAUUUUGAAACCAGAGUAAUAAAAUAAUACGUAAUGUUGGAAGCAGAACCAAAUAACGAACCGACCAUACUAGAUUACCUGAACGAAGAUUGUUGGCGCGCCGUGCUACAGUUCGUGCCCGUCCAGGACAUUGUAAAAAGCGAACGCGUCAGCCGCCGGUGGCAGCAAGUGGUGCUGCUGUACUUGAAAAGGACCCGGUUUAGUUUUGUUUCAGUUGAGGUAUCUGAUUAUGCGGACCCUUCAAAUGCCUUUAUGUUUAUUUUGCCGAAGUCAAUGUACAAAUCAUUCGAAAGUUGGACAACUAAACUAGGCAAAUCAGUAGCUGGUACCUACUGCAUGAAUCAUAAGAGUUUAAAAAAAUUGACAGAAAACUGUCCCAAUCUUAAAGCUUUGACGCUGAUCAAACUCGACGAACCCAGAGCCAGUAAAAAACAAUUUCAACAGAAUUUAGUCAAAGACUUGCAGUGUGUAAAAUAGCUGUGUUUCAGUACAAGUAACAUCUCAGACCGAUUUGUCAGCCAGUCCAUAGCAGACAAAGCAUUAGAAGAACUAGAAUUCAAUGACUGUUAUAAAAUCACAGGGGAAUAUUUGAUUUCUGUAAACUUAUCUAACUUGAAAUUUCUUGCCUUCAAGAAGUGCCUUAAAUUGCAACCUCGGCACAUAAUUUCAUCUGCCAACCAACUUGGUGAGCUGACAAAACUCGAACUAAUUGAUAUACCUAAAAAGAUAUCAAAGAAAAUUCAGUUAGUAUUGGACAAGAUGCCUAAAUUAGAAUGGCUAGAAAUAAACACCCAUUGUAGAAGGCUGAAUCCAUGUUAUCUAGUAAACUAUGAGCCUCUCUGUCGCCUCGGUCACUUAAAAUAUCUGAAUACCAACCUCAAAGUAACAGACGAGUCUGUGGAAGCUAUAACUAGGUUUUGUAAGGAGCUGCAAACCUUGAAAUUAGGUGACUGUGAGAGUCUUAACUCGGAGGGCUUGGAGGCAAUCAGUCGAAAUGCAGGAGACCGGCUCACUGAGCUUGGGCUACAUUUUUUCUGUUACCUAGGGAAUGAUGAUGUGGUAAAUUGUGUCUACAGGUGUCCUAAGCUCACAUGGCUCACGAUUAAUGGGUAUUCAUUAAAUUUGCUACAUUUUGAGCAAGACUAGCAACGUGCUCCGGCUUCUUGAACAUACAUACACACAGACAGAUGCGGCAGGGGACUUCGUUUUAUAAGAGUAAUAAAAUAAUACGAAAUGUUAGAAGCAGAAACAAAUAACGAAUGGACCAUACUAGAUUACCUGGACGAAGAUUGUUGGCGCGCCGUGCUACAGUUCGUGCCCGUCCAGGACAUUGUAAAAAGCGAGCGCGUCAGCCGCCGGUGGCAGCAAGUGGUGCUGCUGUACUUGAAAGGGACCCGGUUUAGUUUUGUCUCAAUUGAGGUAUUUGAUUAUGCGGACCCUUCAAAUGCCUUUAUGUUUAUUUUGCCGAAGUCAAUGUACGAAUCAUUCGAAAGUUGGACAACUAAACUAGGCAAAUCAGUAGCUGGUACCUACUGCAUGAAUCAUGAGAGUUUAAAAAUAUUAACAGAAAACUGUCCCAAUCUUGAAGCUUUGACGCUGAUCAAACUCGACGAACCCAAAGCCAGUAAAAAACGAUUUCAACAAAAUUUAAUCAAACACUUGCAGUGUGUAAAACAGUUGUUUCAGUACAAGUAACAUCUCAGACCGAUUUGUCAGCCAGUCCAUAGCAGACAAAGCAUUAGAAGAACUAGAAUUCCAUGACUGUUAUGAAAUCACAGGGGAAUGUUUGAUUUCGGCAAACUUAUCUAACUUGAAAUUUCUUGCCUUCAAGAUGUGCCUUCAAUUGCAAGCUUGGCACAUAAUUUCAUUUACCAACCAACUUGGUGAGCUGACAAAACUCGAACUAAUUGAUAUACCUAAAAACAUAUCAAAGAAAAUUCAGUUAGUAUUGGACAAGAUGCCUAAAUUAGAAUGGCUUGAAAUAAACACCCAUCGUAGAAGGAUGAAUCUAUGUUAUCUAGUAAACUAUGAGCCUCUCUGUCGCCUCGGUCACUUGAAAUAUCUGAAUACCAACCUCAAAGUAACAGACGAGUCUGUGGAAGCCAUAACUCGGUGUUGUAAGGAGCUGCAAACCUUGGAAUUAGGUGACUGUGAGUGUCUUAACUCGGAGGGCUUGGAGGCAAUCUGUCGAAAUGCUGGAAACCGGCUCACUGAGCUUGGGCUACAAUUUUUCUGUUACCUAGAGGAUGAUGAUGUGGUAAAUUGUGUCCGCAGCUGUCCUGAGCUCACAUCGCUCACAAUUGGUGGGCCUUGUCAGAUAACCCCAGCUAUGCCAGCACGUGUGUCAGCUGCUCGCCAUGAAGUGAGUCCGGGACAACAACUAUGCCUGGACCUCAGUGAAACAAAUCUGAGUAACUCAGAAGGUAUGGAGGAAUUUGAAGACAUUGAGGAGGAGUAUGAGGACCUGUGUGUGUAUUUAAGUUGAAAAGUUGAAUUUUUAAAUCCUGUUUAAAUUGAGAAAUUGUAGACAUGUUGUUUUUUUUAUUAAUAAAGAAAAUGAUGUUAAUGUUA